AGCGGCGGACGGGUGAGUAACGCGUGGGUAACCUGCCUCGUACAGGGGGAUAACAGUUAGAAAUGACUGCUAAUACCGCAUAAGACCACAGCACCGCAUGGUGCAGGGGUAAAAACUCCGGUGGUAUGAGAUGGACCCGCGUCUGAUUAGCUAGUUGGUAAGGUAACGGCUUACCAAGGCGACGAUCAGUAGCCGACCUGAGAGGGUGACCGGCCACAUUGGGACUGAGACACGGCCCAA
rnacentral:rRNA from 1 species